UACUGGCGCUUAGCUUUUCGUAAACCUCGUCAAAAAUCGCAAUCUUUUCCAAAUGUAAGUAAAAUGCAAUCAUAAUUAAAAGCAAUUUAUUGCCGAAUUCAUUACCCCAUCAGUCACUUUUUUAAAGGUCUUCUCAAUUUCCACUAAACCAGUUAAUGUCAAAUUUUCGUGACAUAUCAUCUUCUUUACCUUGCAACUUUCGCGCCGACAUUUUGACUAAUUAUACUUCCCAAAAUUCAGGUAAAUUACAACCACCUAAUGUUUAUACUCAUGUAACCCAACUUUGUUGGAGUUGGUAAAAGUAGUCUUGUUACCAAAGAUCUCUCCUAAGUUAUUAAAGCUAAGGUGUGCCGGUUGCACGAGUGCUAUUAUGUGGGUGACAAAGAAGGAGGUAACAGUUUCACAAUGUAUGUAGGGAUAUGAGGAUGGUAGUAUUUGAAAGAAAAUAAUAGUUUACAAUCAUUUCUU